GUGCAAGUAUGAACCAAUUUGAACUGUGAAACUGUGAAUGGCUCAUUAAAUCAGUUAUAAUUUGUUUGAUUGUACCUACUACUCAGAUAACCAUAGUAAUUCUAGAGCUAAUACGUGCAACAAGCCUGGAUUUCUAGGAGGGGCGCAUUUAUUAAAUAAAAGGCUGGUGCGGUCUUGUUAUAGUUUUUUUUUGUAACCGAUACCUUGUUGCAGAAAUUUGCUGUAGUGAGCAGCAAGUAAUGACCACGUGUCAAAAGAAAGGUCGAUGUUCCCUCGGGAUGGCGGGGCAAUGAUGGAUGCAGCUCCUCGAG
rnacentral:rRNA from 1 species